CGCUCGCGCUGACGGGGUACCAACCGCCAGGGCGCGAGGGAAAUCGAGCACUGGGGGGUUGCCUUGAGAAGCUCGACGCGCUGGCGAAGAUAGAGGCGCGAGGCAAAUGUCUGUCGGGC
rnacentral:sRNA from 1 species